rnacentral:rRNA from 1 species
ACUUAAGCAUAUCAAUAAGCGGAGGAAAAGAAACCAACAGGGAUUGCCUCAGUAACGGCGAGUGAAGCGGCAAGAGCUCAAAUUUGAAAGCUGGCUCCUUCGGGGUCCGCAUUGUAAUUUGCAGAGGAUGCUUCGGGAGCGGUCCCCGUCUAAGUGCCCUGGAACGGGCCGUCAUAGAGGGUGAGAAUCCCGUAUGGGACGGGGUGUCCGCGCCCAUGUGAAGCUCCUUCAACGAGUCGAGUUGUUUGGGAAUGCAGCUCUAAAUGGGUGGUAAAUUUCAUCUAAAGCUAAAUAUUGGCCGGAGACCGAUAGCGCACAAGUAGAGUGAUCGAAAGAUGAAAAGCACUUUGAAAAGAGAGUUAAAAAGCACGUGAAAUUGUUGAAAGGGAAGCGUUUGCGACCAGACUCGCCCGCGGGGGUUCAGCCGUCAUUCGUGGCGGUGUCUUCCCCGUAGGCGGGCCAGCGUCGGUUUGGGCGGUCGGUCAAAGGCCCUCGGAAUGUAACGUCUCUCGGGGCGUCUUAUAGCCGGGGGUGCCAUGCGGCCAGCCUAGACCGAGGAACGCGCUUCGGCACGGACGCUGGCAUAAUGGUCGUAAAUGACCCGUCUUGAAACACGGACCAAGGAGUCUAACAUCUACGCGAGUGUUCGGGUGGCAAACCCGUGCGCGCAGUGAAAGCGAACGGAGGUGGGAACCCGCAAGGGUGCACCAUCGACCGAUCCUGAAGUCUUCGGAUGGAUUUGAGUAGGAGCGUAGCUGUUGGGACCCGAAAGAUGGUGAACUAUGCCUGAAUAGGGUGAAGCCAGAGGAAACUCUGGUGGAGGCUCGCAGCGGUUCUGACGUGCAAAUCGAUCGUCAAAUUUGGGUAUAGGGGCGAAAGACUAAUCGAACCAUCUAGUAGCUGGUUCCUGCCGAA